GGCUACGAGGACGAACGCUGGCGGCGUGCCUAACACAUGCAAGUCGAACGAGGUCCAAGGAAGCUUGCUUCCUGAAGAUCUAGUGGCGAACGGGUGAGUAACACGUGAGAAACCUGCCUCGGAGUGGGGAAUAACUCGGGGAAACUCGAGCUAAUACCGCAUACCUUCACAUGAUCGCAUGGUCGAGUGAAGAAAGAAUUUCGCUCUGAGAGGGUCUCGCGGCCUAUCAGCUUGUUGGUGGGGUAACGGCCUACCAAGGCAACGACGGGUAGCUGGUUUGAGAGAACGAUCAGCCACACUGGGACUGAGACACGGCCCAGACUCCUACGGGAGGCAGCAGUGGGGAAUCUUGCGCAAUGGGCGAAAGCCUGACGCAGCAACGCCGCGUGCGGGAUGACGGCCUUCGUGGUUGUAAACCGCUUUCAGCAGGGACGAAAAUGACGGUACCUGCAGAAGAAGCCCCGGCUAACUACGUG
rnacentral:rRNA from 1 species